rnacentral:rRNA from 1 species
UACGGAGGGUGCAAGCGUUAUCCGGAUUCACUGGGUUUAAAGGGUGCGUAGGUGGGCUGGUAAGUCAGUGGUGAAAUCUCCAGGCUUAACUUGGAAACUGCCAUUGAUACUAUCAGUCUUGAAUACCGUGGAGGUCAGCGGAAUAUGUCAUGUAGCGGUGAAAUGCUUAGAUAUGACAUAGAACACCAAUUGCGAAGGCAGCUGGCUACACGAAUAUUGACCACUGAUGCACGAAAGCGUGGGGAUCAAACAGG